AUCAAAUUGAACCAGUGAGCAACAUUACUUAUGGUGUUCAAAAUCGAGCUACAGGUGAAAGUAAUUCAGAGGUUAAUAAUAAUUCAACCAAUGAUUUCAAGGAACCAGUUAGCAUCAUCACUUGUAACUUUAAUAAUGGUGCUCCAAAUGAAAGGAUUUCAAAGGCUUGUUCUCAGCCAAAAGAAAAUCUGGGAUCAUGUUUUGAUCCAUUUCAGCUACAGGAUUUCACGCUGCUGUCACCAAUGAACUUGGAACUGGGAGAUUUUGAGCAUGGCAAUAAACUUUAUUGGCAUGCAAUGAGUUGUAACCUCUGAUCUGGAGGUUAUGACUCUUUUCCCUCAAAGUUCUUAUAUACAAUUAUUGUUGAUCAGGAAUAUUAUCCUGCGAAGAUACACCAAACACUAUUUUCAGUGACCCUAAUCUACCGGAGUCAUGGGGAAGAUUCUAUGAUAGCACUAGUGAAGUAAGAAGAAGUGAGAAAAAAAAAACACCGAGUUAAUGUAUGGAUGGGUAGUAUGUUUAAUCUGCAUUAGCGGUACAAGAGAAACCUCAACAUAGCUAGUGAACCACAAUAUUUUACUUUUAGGAGAACAUCAAUAGGGGCCUUGUAUACCCCAAGAGGUAACAUGACCCUUGUCUACAUUUUUGGAACUGGAGGCUUUGGAAACUUAUUCAUAGUUGUGGACACAUAGACAUCUAUGUCCAGGACAAACGAAUCAGGUUAACUAAGUCUGUUCUUGGUCUUUUGGGCCAUUGCUGUGUGUGACAGCAUUCCCAACUUUUGGAAACUUGAAGCUUGUAAGGUGAACUUGUUGGUCACCGAAAAUUGGCAACGUUUGAAAUGCCAUCUGGAACUCUAUUCUCCUCCGGCGAGUCCAGACGAAAUAAUUUGGAGACCAUGUCUCUCUCCUGUCAACAGAACUACAAAUAUUCGCCAAAUCAAUUGUCUUCAAAUAGUGUACUCUCUUAAUCAAAGGUCACACCAUCCCUCUGUUCAUGUUCAUACAUGGGAGGUGCUGUGAGAAGAAUCCAACUGCAAAGCUGUAUCACAAGACAAGGUUAGAGAAGCUGCAGAGUAUUGCAUUGCUCUCCAUCUGAAAACCGAGUCUUGGAAGCAUACGGUUUGAAGCAAACAUCAACAGGGUUCUUUCAAGUUUGGAAGCAUCUCCUCAAAACCAUUAAUCAAGUCCCCAGUGGGACGUGGUAUAAUAUCUCGGUACGAAGUUCUAGCUCAAGCCUUAGGCUUUCGUUCUGCUCUCUAUUGUUCUGGAAGUGGUAUUAUACAGGAUCUGCAGCUGCAUGGCUGCUGGAAUCUCAAUAUAUGUUACAACUUACAAUAACCAGACACUAGUGUGAUGUCUGUGGUUAUUGGUAUGGAAGUUUCGAGGUUCCGUCCUUAAUGGAGUAGUAGUUACAAUCAUAGUAAAACUGUAUGAUUAUGAUUGGUUUAAAACACCCAAGAAUCGUGUUCUUGUAAAUGUUGUUGAUUUUGUUUUUUUGUAA